UUAAGUUAUUAAGGGCGCACGGUGGAUGCCUUGGCACUAGAAGCCGAUGAAGGACGUUACUAACGACGAUAUGCUUUGGGGAGCUGUAAGUAAGCUUUGAUCCAGAGAUUUCCGAAUGGGGAAACCCAGCAUGAGUUAUGUCAUGUUAUCGAUAUGUGAAUACAUAGCAUAUCAGAAGGCACACCCGGAGAACUGAAACAUCUUAGUACCCGGAGGAAGAGAAAGAAAAUUCGAUUCCCUUAGUAGCGGCGAGCGAAACGGGAAGAGCCCAAACCAACAAGCUUGCUUGUUGGGGUUGUAGGACACUCUAUACGGAGUUACAAAGGACGACAUUAGACGAAUCAUCUGGAAAGAUGAAUCAAAGAAGGUAAUAAUCCUGUAGUCGAAAAUGUUGUCUCUCUUGAGUGGAUCCUGAGUACGACGGAGCACGUGAAAUUCCGUCGGAAUCUGGGAGGACCAUCUCCUAAGGCUAAAUACUCUCUAGUGACCGAUAGUGAACCAGUACCGUGAGGGAAAGGUGAAAAGCACCCCGGAAGGGGAGUGAAAUAGAACCUGAAACCGUGUGCUUACAAGUAGUCAGAGCCCGUUAAUGGGUGAUGGCGUGCCUUUUGUAGAAUGAACCGGCGAGUUACGAUUUGAUGCAAGGUUAAGCAGUAAAUGUGGAGCCGUAGCGAAAGCGAGUCUGAAUAGGGCGUUUAGUAUUUGGUCGUAGACCCGAAACCAGGUGAUCUACCCUUGGUCAGGUUGAAGUUCAGGUAACACUGAAUGGAGGACCGAACCGACUUACGUUGAAAAGUGAGCGGAUGAACUGAGGGUAGCGGAGAAAUUCCAAUCGAACCUGGAGAUAGCUGGUUCUCUCCGAAAUAGCUUUAGGGCUAGCCUCAAGUGAUGAUUAUUGGAGGUAGAGCACUGUUUGGACGAGGGGCCCCUCUCGGGUUACCGAAUUCAGACAAACUCCGAAUGCCAAUUAAUUUAACUUGGGAGUCAGAACAUGGGUGAUAAGGUCCGUGUUCGAAAGGGAAACAGCCCAGACCACCAGCUAAGGUCCCAAAAUAUAUGUUAAGUGGAAAAGGAUGUGGCGUUGCCCAGACAACUAGGAUGUUGGCUUAGAAGCAGCCAUCAUUUAAAGAGUGCGUAAUAGCUCACUAGUCGAGUGACACUGCGCCGAAAAUGUACCGGGGCUAAACAUAUUACCGAAGCUGUGGAUUGUCCUUUGGACAAUGGUAGGAGAGCGUUCUAAGGGCGUUGAAGCAUGAUCGUAAGGACAUGUGGAGCGCUUAGAAGUGAGAAUGCCGGUGUGAGUAGCGAAAGACGGGUGAGAAUCCCGUCCACCGAUUGACUAAGGUUUCCAGAGGAAGGCUCGUCCGCUCUGGGUUAGUCGGGUCCUAAGCUGAGGCCGACAGGCGUAGGCGAUGGAUAACAGGUUGAUAUUCCUGUACCACCUAUAAUCGUUUUAAUCGAUGGGGGGGACGCAGUAGGAUAGGCGAAGCGUGCGAUUGGAUUGCACGUCUAAGCAGUAAGGCUGAGUAUUAGGCAAAUCCGGUACUCAUUAAGGCUGAGCUGUGAUGGGGAGAAGACAUUGUGUCUUCGAGUCGUUGAUUUCACACUGCCGAGAAAAGCCUCUAGAUAGAAAAUAGGUGCCCGUACCGCAAACCGACACAGGUAGUCAAGAUGAGAAUUCUAAGGUGAGCGAGCGAACUCUCGUUAAGGAACUCGGCAAAAUGACCCCGUAACUUCGGGAGAAGGGGUGCUCUUUAGGGUUAACGCCCAGAAGAGCCGCAGUGAAUAGGCCCAAGCGACUGUUUAUCAAAAACACAGGUCUCUGCUAAACCGUAAGGUGAUGUAUAGGGGCUGACGCCUGCCCGGUGCUGGAAGGUUAAGAGGAGUGGUUAGCUUCUGCGAAGCUACGAAUCGAAGCCCCAGUAAACGGCGGCCGUAACUAUAACGGUCCUAAGGUAGCGAAAUUCCUUGUCGGGUAAGUUCCGACCCGCACGAAAGGCGUAACGAUUUGGGCACUGUCUCAACGAGAGACUCGGUGAAAUCAUAGUACCUGUGAAGAUGCAGGUUACCCGCGACAGGACGGAAAGACCCCGUGGAGCUUUACUGUAGC
rnacentral:rRNA from 1 species